rnacentral:rRNA from 1 species
UAAUUUGAGAUAAAAAAUUUAUUAAAUUUAUUUUAUUUAUUUUUUUUAUAAAAAUAAUUUUAUAAAAAAUAAUUUUUAGUAUUUUUUAAAGAAAAAAUUUAAUUAAUUAUAGUAUAUUAGUAUUGUGAAAGAAAAUUGAAAUAUAAAAUAAUUUAUUUUAAAAAAGUAAAAUUUAUUUUUUGUACCUUGUGUAUCAGGGUUUAUUAAUUUAUAAUUAUAAAUUUUAAUUAUCCCGAAUUAAAGAGAGAUAAUAAAUUAUUUUUUUUAUUGUUAAAAAAAUAUUUAUAAUAAUUUAUUUGAAAUGAAAAGUUAUUCGUUCUUUAAUAUAUCUGGUUUAUUAAGAAAUGAAUUUAAUUCAUAUAUUUAAUUUUUUAAUAAGUUAAUUUAUUAAUUUAUUAUAAUUAAUUAUAAAUAAUUAAAGGGAUUAGCUUUUAAUUAAAAAUUUAAAAAUUAUUAAUUUUAUUAAAAAAUGUAAGUUUAGAAAUAUCUAUCAUUAAUAUUUUGUUAUAAUUAAUUUAUAAAAUAAUAUUAUUUAAUUUAAUUUUAAGUUUUUUAUUAAUAAUUAUUUUAAAAUUAUUAAAAUUUAGUUAUAAUGGUAGAAUUAGUAUAAUUAAUUUGUUUAUUUAAUUUAAUUUAUUUAGAUUAUAUAAAGGAAUUCGGCAAAAUUUUUAUUCGCCUGUUUAACAAAAACAUGUCUUUUUGUAUUAAUUUAAGGUUUAACCUGCCCAAUGAAAAUUUAAAUGGCCGCAGUAUAUUGACUGUGCAAAGGUAGCAUAAUCAUUAGUUUUUUAAUUAAAAGCUAGAAUGAAGGGUUGGACGAAAUAGAAUCUGUCUUUAUUUAAUUUUUAUUAGAAUUUAAUUUUUAAGUUAAAAAGCUUAAAUUUAUUUAAAAGACGAGAAGACCCUAUAGAUCUUUAUAAUUAUUUUUAAUAAAAUUGAUUUAGUUUAUUUUAAUUUUUUAUUAUAAUAUAUUAUUUUAUUGGGGUAAUAUAAAGAUUAAAUUAAUUCUUUAUAAAUUUUAACAUUUAUUUAUGUUUAUAUGAUCCAGUUAUAUUGAUUAUAAGAUUAAGUUACCUUAGGGAUAACAGCGUAAUUUUUUUAAAGAGUUCAUAUCGAUAAAAAAGUUUGCGACCUCGAUGUUGGAUUAAAAAUUAUUUUAGGUGAAGAAGCUUAAAAAUUUGGUCUGUUCGACCAUUAAAUUUUUACAUGAUCUGAGUUCAGACCGGUGUAAGCCAGGUCGGUUUCUAUCUUUAUUUAUUUAAAAAUAUUUUAGUACGAAAGGACCAAAUAUUUGAUAUAUUAAUAUUUAUUUUUUGAUUAUUAUUAAAUUGUUUUGGCAGAUUAGUGUAAUGAAUUUAGAAUUCAUAUAUGUAAUAUUUUUACAAACAAU